rnacentral:snRNA from 1 species
AUUAUAUCCUCCUAAAUCGAAAGU